AUGAAGGUCUUCCACUAUAUCAGGGUAACUGAUGUGAGCAUUGAGAACAUGCAUCAGGGGUUCACACAUGUCUUUGAGUCCACUUUUGAAAGCACCGAGAGAGCUUCAGGCAUUGAGGCGUUGAGCCAUAUUGUAGUAUUGCCACCAAACCCUUCAUGA
rnacentral:rRNA from 1 species